UGUCCUCUGUCUCUCUCUCUCAGAAAUAUACCUUUAAAAUUUUUAAAUUAGAGUCUGAAUCAAAGUAAUCACUUGUCAAAAUUUAUUUGCAAAGUAAUUACUAUACACAAGUCUCCUUAAAGCUUAUUAUUUAUGCAUCCUGUUCUGAAAGUGCAUGUAAAUAAUUCUGGUAGGAACUUGUUUUACAUCCUACUGGCAGGAAGAACUUCUUAGGUUGUUUUCUAGCAAGAUCCUGCCAGCAAGAAUACCUACCCAGUCUAAAUCUUCAAUAAACCCUGUUUGAGCUAGA